GCCCCCGCGUCGAUCCCAUUCCUGCGCUCCCCGCGGCUUCCCCUGGACGGGAAUCAGAAAGGCCUCAAGCUCCGCAUUCACUCCUGCUGCCUCUUGGGACAAGGGGCAUUUCCAAACCACUGACGCAGGCAGCUGUGGUGACAGGUAACCCACCCCCAGAUCUGUAUGGAGAAGCAUUACACCACUUUACUAAGGAAGUCUUUUUAAUUCCAGGUGAAACAAGAACUCCACUCCUCCUGCUAUUCGUGAGGGCUUUACCUCUGACGUAACUUUCCAGCCGUCAGGUUUCCCCCUGCUGUUCUGUUCUGAACCAAAAUGAAAAAUGCCCAGCAAUCUUCACUUCUCCCGAGAUUUUCAACAUUUCACAGAAGUGUGGAAGUAACCCCUGGCCUGGCCUUGAGAGUGGGAUAAAUGACCCCAGGAAUGAGGCUGACAAAGAGGAAGCUUCUUUCUGUGCCCUUUGCAGGUCGCAGCUAAUGUACAUUCCUGCUGUGGAGUAAAACCCUCCCUAAGAAAUAAACCCACUUCACACCA